UACAGAGGGUGCAAGCGUUGUUCGGAAUUACUGGGCGUAAAGCGCGUGUAGGCGGCGGCGUAAGUCGAAUGUGAAAGCCCUUGGCUUAACCAAGGAAGUGCAUUCGAUACUGUGUUGCUUGAGUACCGGAGGGGAUGGCGGAAUUCCUGGUGUAGAGGUGAAAUUCGUAGAUAUCAGGAGGAACACCUGUGGCGAAGGCGGCGUCUGGGGAAGAUACUGACGCUGAGGUGCGAAAGCGUGGGGGAGCAAAACAGG
rnacentral:rRNA from 1 species